rnacentral:rRNA from 1 species
GAUGAACGCUGGCGGCGUGCCUAAUACAUGCAAGUCGAGCGAACGGACGAGAAGCUUGCUUCUCUGAUGUUAGCGGCGGACGGGUGAGUAACACGUGGAUAACCUACCUAUAAGACUGGGAUAACUUCGGGAAACUGGAGCUAAUACCGGAUGAUAUUUUGAACCGCAUGGUUCAAAAGUGAAAGACGGUCUUGCUGUCACUUAUAGAUGGAUCCGCGCUGCAUUAGCUAGUUGGUAAGGUAACGGCUUACCAAGGCAACGAUGCAUAGCCGACCUGAGAGGGUGAUCGGCCACACUGGAACUGAGACACGGUCCAGACUCCUACGGGAGGCAGCAGUAGGGAAUCUUCCGCAAUGGGCGAAAGCCUGACGGAGCAACGCCGCGUGAGUGAUGAAGGUCUUCGGAUCGUAAAACUCUGUUAUUAGGGAAGAACAUAUGUGUAAGUAACUGUGCACAUCUUGACGGUACCUAAUCAGAAAGCCACGGCUAACUACGUG